GACCCGUCUUGAAACACGGACCAAGGAGUCUAACCUAUGCGCGAGCCAUUGGGAUAUUAUAACAAUACCUAAAGGCAAAGUGAAAGCAAAAAUGGUGAGAUCUGUCGUUUAUUUGUUAAAAAUAGCGGCGGCGCAUCAUCGUCACGCCUUAACUCGGCUUCGGCUGAAGAGGCGCAGACUGAGCGCAUAAGUUGGGACCCGAAAGAUGGUGAACUAUGCGAGGCGAGGUCGAAGCCAGAGGAAACUCUGGUGGAGGACUGUAGCGGUUCUAACGUGCAAAUUGAUCGUCGCAGCUUCGUAUAGGGGCGAAWGACUAAUCGAACCAUCUAGUAGCUGGUUCCUUCCGA
rnacentral:rRNA from 1 species